rnacentral:rRNA from 1 species
AACGAACGCUGGCGGCAUGCCUAACACAUGCAAGUCGAACGAGAUCUUCGGGUCUAGUGGCGCACGGGUGCGUAACGCGUGGGAAUCUGCCCUUUGGUUCGGAAUAACAGUUGGAAACGACUGCUAAUACCGGAUGAUGACGAAAGUCCAAAGAUUUAUCGCCAGAGGAUGAGCCCGCGUAGGAUUAGCUAGUUGGUGUGGUAAAGGCGCACCAAGGCGACGAUCCUUAGCUGGUCUGAGAGGAUGAUCAGCCACACUGGGACUGAGACACGGCCCAGACUCCUACGGGAGGCAGCAGUGGGGAAUAUUGGACAAUGGGCGAAAGCCUGAUCCAGCAAUGCCGCGUGAGUGAUGAAGGCCUUAGGGUUGUAAAGCUCUUUUACCCGGGAUGAUAAUGACAGUACCGGGAGAAUAAGCUCCGGCUAACUCCGUGCCAGCCGCCGCCGUAACAC